rnacentral:rRNA from 1 species
GAUCCUAGCUCAGGAUGAACGCUGGCGGCGUGCUUAACACAUGCAAGUCGAGCGAAGCACUUAGGAAAGAUUCUUCGGAUGAUUUCCUAUUUGACUGAGCGGCGGACGGGUGAAGGUAACGCGUGGGUAACCUGCCUCAUACAGGGGGAUAACAGUUAGAAAUGACUGCUAAUACCGCAUAAGACCACAGCACCGCAUGGUGCAGGGGUAAAAACUCCGGUGGUAUGAGAUGGACCCGCGU